rnacentral:miRNA from 1 species
AAAGUUCUUUGGAAUUUCCCCACGCUGUGUAAUUUGACUCAUAACACUCUGAUUGGUUACUUAAUCCACCAGAGUGUUAUGAGUCAAAUUACACAGCGUGGGAAAAUUCCAAAGAAU